rnacentral:rRNA from 1 species
UACGUAGGGUGCAAGCGUUGUCCGGAAUUAUUGGGCGUAAAGAGCUCGUAGGCGGUUUGUCGCGUCUGCUGUGAAAACUCGGGGCUUAACUCCGGGCCUGCAGUGGGUACGGGCAGACUAGAGUGCGGUAGGGGAGACUGGAAUUCCUGGUGUAGCGGUGAAAUGCGCAGAUAUCAGGAGGAACACCGGUGGCGAAGGCGGGUCUCUGGGCCGUAACUGGACGCUGAGGAGCGAAAGCGUGGGGAGCGAACAGG